rnacentral:rRNA from 1 species
GGUUUUUAUAAAGGUUUUCCGGAAAUAAAAUUCUUCAAA